rnacentral:lncRNA from 1 species
GGUCAGCUCUGUGGUAGGCAGAUCUUAUAAAGGAAGUGAAUGGCAGUGUGUCUUACAGAACUGAGUCUUAAACCACAUGUGGUAAUGACCAUAUGUCACAUAUCUAUGACCCCAGCACUCGGAGGCCUGGAGCUAGGAAGAUUAGGGUUCAAGGCCAACCAGACCUUCUAUCAAAAAAGGAAGAAAGAAAGAAAGAAAGAAAAAAGAAAGAGAGAGAGAGAAAGAAAGAGAAAAAAGAAAAGAAAAGAAAAAUAAAGAAAAGAAGAGAAAAGAAAAGAAAUUUAAUUUCAAGGACCAAAUAGGCUCUGUCGCAAGUGCUGAACAUGGUGGUUGUAAUGGGACCAAAGGCAAUACACAAAUUGUCCAUGUGGUUGUGUUUCAACAAAACCUUAUUUGUGGACAGAAAAAGAAGUAAAUCUUUAGAAGCAGGCCCCUGGAACCAGUAGUGGGGCCUGAUGCCUAUAGUCUAACACUAGGGAGACUGGGGCAGGAGAUUCCCUUCCAGUUUGAAAGUCAGUUUGGGACACAGAGCAAAAUCUUGUCUCAAAGAAAUAAAAAGCAUGCUAUUGGCUGUGUCCGGUGCUGUGUCUGCAAGAGGGGAUGUGAAGGAUUGCUACCGUAAUGUACAAAGAGCAGGCAACAUGGGGUGCUGGUGGGGACAGGGGUGGUCCCGUCUAUCCCUGUGUGUUCAAAGCACUCUGUAGAUACACCAGGCUACACUGUCAUCCCACGCCUCUCCAUCCUGGACCGUCCUGGAACCGGCUCAUGUUAGAGUGAUGGUCUCAGCCUGGCUUUCAAAGUCUUCCCACUUGCAAUGGAGACAGCGUACAGGGGAAACAAGAUGGAGUCCGCGGCCUCCUCUGUGCUUCUGGCUUUGGGUUUCUGGUCUUGGACUGAGUGAAAAAUGCCACAUCUAGAAGGCAUUGUGUUCGUUAAACAUAAACGACUUAAAGCCAAUAACAGUCCAUGUGCUGUGAAGCUACCUGACACCCAGAGAGCGAGCGGGCUGCCUUCUUCCUCUUGGUGCUGAUUCCAUGUCAGGUCCUCAGUUGGCUCUUGUCACGGUGAUGGAAUUUAUCCCGAGGUCUUUGGUGGAGUUCUUGUUCAUACAGAUAAACCCAUGUGUUGAUAUUUUCCUAUUUUUCUCACUCUCCUGUUCUCUGGAACUGCCAAGGAAGCAAGUUUAAGGGGCUUUCGGUCUGUGUUGUUUUCCUUCACUGUUCAAACACAUGAAUUAACCUUUUUUUUUCUUCUUCACGACCAUCAUUUUCUUGUCUUUCUCUUUUAAAGUUUUUUUUUUUCUUUUCUUUUUCUUUCUCUAACAAGCUGAUCUGUUUUCCAGGAGUUUCCAAGUAAUUAAACCCAAUUAAAACCAUUAAAUUCAUGCUUUUAAUGACAACUUUAUUAUUUAAGGCUAACCGCAGGGAGGAGGGUUAACUGGCCUAGCCUUCCACUGUGUGCUAAUCCGCCCCUAACCUCUGGCUGACACUCAGAGAGAUAAACCCCACAGAAUAAGCGAGCUGCUUUAAUGAAUAGCUUUAAUUAGUACUUUUCUUCCUCCUGGCAGAGUGAUUAUUUGUUCGGCUUCUAAACAACUACUUGGCAGGAAUAGUUAAAGGCCCAGUAGAUUUAGAUGGCGUGAUGGCUUCAAUUGGUUUUGUGUGCGCAGGUGGGAUUUUUUUUUUAAAGAAGAGAGGGGGUCUUCAGACCAAAAUGGGUGCAAUAGUAUAUCUUCCUGCAUAUCAUACUGAAGAUGGGGGUGGCAGGGUAAUUGACACAGAAGAAAAAGCAAGGCGACCGCAGGCGGCGGGCUGUGAGCCAGCCCUAGCGUUGGCGAGACACCCACCCUGCGCACGGAACGUGGGCAAGCCCAGACAGCACCACUCGGAGACACAAGCCUGGCUCCAGGGCAGUCUGGGUCCUGACAGCAGAGGAAGGGGCCUGGGGUGGCACAGUGCCAAGCCAUCACCCUCCCUCUGCCCCCAAACCUUUCUCCAGGUGGCAUCUGAGGGAGGAAGAACCGAGUUUACAGGAUAGGUGUGGCCAGAGAGGCCCAUUGGACGGACAGUCUAACCAAUCCCGAAAGCGGAGGCUUUCCCUGUGGCCAGGCUAUCCCUGUUGACCCAUCUCUCAGAAGUGGAUACUGUGGCUCUUCAGGUCAGGAUGGGGGGCAUGACGUUAAGUGAGCCACCCCCAAGUCACCUUCAGAAAAUACAGGCAGAGUCCCAGUAUGUACCCAGGUCCUCCGUGUGGGUGCUUCAAACUACUGGGUCUCACUUCCUCCCUACGGCACAAAAGAGGCACCUCCUGCCCUUAUGGUUGGGAGAUUUUUAAUUAGAGGUAGGGGCAGGGUCUCAUGUAGCCCAGGCUGGCUUAGAACUCACUAGACAGUCAAAGAUGACCUUGAACUUCCGAAUCCCCACCUCUGUGCUGAGAUUAUUGCUGAGAUUAGGUGGGUGGCACAUAACCCACCCCUGGGUUUAUGGCACUGACUGGGAUCGAACUCCUGCUUUAUACAAGCUAAGAAGGCCCUCUACCGGCCCCAGCCCUGGGUUUCUUUGUGGUUUUUUUCAUUCUUGUUUAUACUGUAGAUCAGUUUGUGCCUGUGUUAGAAAGCUAGCUUCACUUCAGUGGUUUUCCACAUUGAAAUUCAAAGUUAGUUUGCUAACGCUGCUGUCUGAGCACCGCACUUUCUCUCAUCUCGGGUCCUUCAGACUGGAUCUUCAAAACUGGAGUGACGGCUCCUGGGACCUGUUGGGCCAAGUCUGGAGAAGUCUGUGACUGUCAUCGCUGGGUGGAAGGGAGAGAUUGCUAUUGGCAUUAGGGGUGGAGAUUAGAUAUGCAGAUACCCAGAAGGCCUCCUCUGGAAAUAAUAACCACUGAGCUGUGGGUCUCAGAGAGGCUCAGUGAGGCGUAUGUAUGUCAUGCAAUGUAUGAGGCGUAUGUAUGGGGCCUUCCAGGCAAGUGAUAGGCAUGUUGAUGUGCCCUCUGUGGCCUGGGUGAGGCUCAGUGGUAGAGCACUUGCCUGGUAUGUACAGAGCCCUUAUAUCCAGAAACAUAAGAAAAAAAAGUUAACCAGCCUAUUCAAGUUAUUAACCAUCCACCAGCCAUCUUUCAGAAACACAUUGAAAGAGAUGGAGCUGUGUGUGUGUGUGUGCAGCUUGUGUGUGAAUGUGUUUUGUGUAUGUAUGUAUGUAAGUAUAUGUGUGUAUGCACACAACGUGUGUGUGUGCACAUAUGCAUUCAGAGAACAACUCUGUAGAGAUGAUUCCCAUCUUCUAUCCUUGUUUGGGUCCCAAGAAUCAAAUUCAGGUUGCCAAGUUAACACAGAAAGUGCCUUUACCCACUAAGCCAUUUUGCUGGCCCCAGCUUAAAUCUUAACAAGUAGACAACUGCCGUCUUAAAAUAGGCAUUUAUCAAAAGAAACAUGAUCGUUGCCUUCACUGUAGUCGUAGUAAAGUAUUUUGGUUUAUGUCAUUGUCUCUGCAAAGAUAUAUUCAGGGAAUGAAGUUUUUAGUUUUAGGGGUUUUGUUGUUUGUUUGAUUGGUUGGUUGGUUUUUGGAAAGUCCUGGGUUCGAAUCCCAGCUUUUGCCUCUUGUUAGUAAUGUGGCCUUGGAGUCAUGAUUUGCCUGGAAGAAAUAGGCUGGGAAAUAAGCUGCCCUCUUCUGACAUGGAGGCUUCUAUGGAAUCAGAGCACUCCUACAUUUUUUUAAAAAACAUAAAAAUUUUUAAAGGUUUUC